CUACGGGGUGCUCCAGUGAGGAAUUUUGCGCAAUGGGGGAAACCCUGACGCAGCAACGCCGCGUGAGUGAAGAAGGCUUUCGGGUCGUAAAGCUCUGUCAGAUAGGAAAAAAGUUCAUAUGUAAAUAGCUUAUGAAUCUGAUGGUACUAUCAGAGGAAGCACCGGCUAACUCCGUGCCAGCAGCCGCGGUAAUACGGAGGGUGCAAGCGUUGUUCGGAAUUACUGGGCGUAAAGGGCGUGUAGGCGGUAUGGUAAGUCAGAUGUGAAAGCCCUGGGCUUAACUCAGGAAGUGCAUUUGAUACUGCCAUCCUUGAGUAUGGGAGAUGAGAGUAGAAUUCCCAGUGUAGAGGUGAAAUUCGUAGAUAUUGGGAGGAAUACCCGUGGCGAAGGCGACUCUCUGGACCAAUACUGACGCUGAGACGCGAAAGCGUGGGGAGCAAACAGGAUUAGAUACCCGCGUAGUC
rnacentral:rRNA from 1 species